rnacentral:ncRNA from 2 species
ACGUGUCCGAUAUGGAUUGGUCCGGCUCGGAGCGGGGAGAAUCUGGGAAGCCGGUGUGAUUCCGGCACGGGCCCGCCGCGGUGACCGGGGAGCCGCCGCCCACGCGCGCGAGCGCAGCCACUGGCCGCAACGGCUGGGAAGGCGGGCGGUGAGGCGACGAUCCGGGAGUCCGAAGACCGGCCUCGCCGACUGUCGCCCG